GCAACAUAAAUCAGUGAAUCGUCUGCCAAAUUAAAUGCAGGUUUUCACUUUUGCAUUGUUGCUAGAUCAAUUUGGACAAGCUCAUCAGCUGAACGCGGCGAUAAUAUAAAGACCACGUCGCGCUCUUCUAAAGUCUUGUUCACAGCC
rnacentral:snoRNA from 1 species